UUCGCAGGCCGGGCGUUCGCCCCCGCCGCUUUGCUUUGCAAAACGGCGGGGGAGGAAAGUCCGAGCUCCACAGAGCAGCGUAGCGGCUAACGGCCGCCCGUCGAAAGGCGAGGAUAAUCCCUCGGCGCGCACCAAGCUUUACUAAGUGCCGCUCGGGAUCAUUGCCAGUAGAAACUACGGCAAUGAGAGGACAGAGACGAGUCCUGUCGCCGAAAGGCGGCAGGGGUGAGACGACCAAUCUCUACGCGGAGCAAGACCAAAUAGGCUCCGAUCAAGGAUCUGCUCGAUCCUACUGGAAUAGACGUCAGUAUCGGAGCGGGUAAGGUCGCUGGAGCCGCGGAGUGAUCCGCGGCCUAGAUAGAUGAACGCCUCGUCCGGCGCAAGCCGGGCAAGACAGAACUCGGCUUACAGGCCUGCGAAACUU
rnacentral:RNase_P_RNA from 1 species